UACGGGGGGAGCAAGCGUUGUUCGGAUUUACUGGGCGUAAAGGGCGCGUAGGCGGUCAGCACAAGUCAGUUGUGAAAUCUCCGAGCUUAACUCGGAACGGUCAACUGAUACUGUGCGACUAGAGUGCGGAAGGGGCAACUGGAAUUCUCGGUGUAGCGGUGAAAUGCGUAGAUAUCGCGAGGAACACCUGCAGCGAAGGCGGGUUGCUGGGCCGACACUGACGCUGAUGCGCGAAAGCCAGGGGAGCGAACGGG
rnacentral:rRNA from 1 species